rnacentral:rRNA from 1 species
UACGUAGGGGGCAAGCGUUGUCCGGAAUCAUUGGGCGUAAAGAGCGUGUAGGCGGCUUGGUAAGUCCGCUGUGAAAGUCCAGGGCUCAACCCUGGAAUGCCGGUGGAAACUGUCAAGCUUGAGUCCGGAAGAGGCGAGUGGAAUUCCUGGUGUAGCGGUGAAAUGCGCAGAUAUCAGGAGGAACACCAAUGGCGAAGGCAGCGCGCUGGGACGGUACUGACGCUGAGACGCGAAAGCGUGGGGAGCAAACAGG